CACGUAGGGCGCAAGCGUUGUCCGGAAUUAUUGGGCGUAAAGAGCUCGUAGGCGGACUGUCACGUCUGCUGUGAAAAGCUGGGGCUUAACCCUGGCCUUGCAGUGGAUACGGGCAGACUAGAGGUAGGUAGGGGAGAAUGGAAUUCCCGGUGUAGCGGUGAAAUGCGCAGAUAUCAGGAGGAACACCGGUGGCGAAGGCGGAUCUCUGGGCCUUACCUGACGCUCAGGUGCGAAAGCUAGGGGAGCGAACAGG
rnacentral:rRNA from 1 species